rnacentral:tRNA from 1 species
GAGGGUAUAGCUCUGUGGUAGAGCACGUGCUUAGCAUGCACGUGAUCCUGAGUUCAAUCUCCAGUAUUUCCA